rnacentral:lncRNA from 1 species
GGGAGGGCCAGGGCAGGAGGAGAGGCGGUGAUUAUGUACCUGGGCACAGAAGGUGGCAGAAGGGCACCGGGAGGCGAGAGCCACAUCCAGGAAAGAUCUGGGGCAGCCAAAACCCCCCCUGAAAAAAGAGGACGGGGACCCCCCUGACUGCACUAAAUUGAGUGUGCAAGGAAUUGCCAGACCCACCACAAAAGGAGAAGCAGGAAGAGGACUUACUUGUGAGUUUGGAGGGGUUUUUAAGCAGCUAAAGUUUGCCAGUGGGGAUUUGGGGAGAUUUUCAAGUGCAAGGCUGCAAUUGUUGCAGAGGGUGUCCAUCUGUGUGUGGAAGGGUUGCGGUGUUUGGCCACUGGUGCGUCUCUUCCGAGGGAUCCUGCCACAGACUGCAUCCCUUGUGUCUGUGAAGGAUCCUGCAGUUGGGUCCUAAUGGGUUAAGCCUCUGGGAACGUUGCCCUGGUUGCCCAAGUGAAUUUGAAGAUUCUGCCAGUUAAUGUGUUUGCAUUGUUCUUGUUGUUAAGCUUAUAUGACACUUUAUUUAUUCAAUGUGUAUAUAUCCCACCUUUUCCCUCCAUGGAGCGCAAGGUGACUUACAUGAUUGGUCCCCUCCUCAUUUAAUCCACACAACAUCCCUGUGAGGUAGGUUAGGCUGAGAGGCAGCGACUGGCCCCAAAUCACCCAGCGAGCUUCAUGGCCCAGCGGGAAUUUGAACCCUGGUUUCCUGGGUCCUAGUCUUUCAUUCUAGUCACUACACCACACUGGCUCUCAUUACAAUGUGGGGAAACAAGACAGGUCCCUGCCCCAAAGAGCUUGCAGUUUCAUUUAUUAUAUAGAGGGUGUCUGUCUAGCUGAUCAGUAUGCUGAUGACACCCAACUCUAUCUGUUGAUGGAUGGCCAUCCUGACUCGGCCCCAGACACACUGAUCAGAUGUUUGGAAGCUGUGGCUGGAUGGUUACGUGGGAGCCUGUUGAAGUUAAAUCCUUUGAAGACAGAGGUCCUUCGGCUGGGAUGGGACGAUAUGGGAUUGGGGGGGCAACUCCCAUCUCUUGCGGGGGCGCAGUUAGUGCCAGCACCGUCCGUUAAGAGUUUGGGUGUAAUCUUCGACACCUCCCUUUCCAUGGAGGCGCAGAUUGCAGCUAUAACAAAGGCGGCAUUUUUUCAUCUCCGCCAAGCUAAGCAGUUGGCUCCUUAUCUCUCUCGCCCUGACCUAGCCACUGUGAUCCACGCGACGGUCACCUCCAGACUGGAUUAUUGUAACUCGCUCUACGUGGGGCUGCCCUUGAGACUGAUCCAGAAACUCCAGCGGGUGCAGAAUGCUGCAGCGAGACUCCUUACGGGGUCCUCGCUGCGAGAUCACAUUCACCCGGUGCUAUACCAGCUGCACUGGCUCCCGGUGACGUACAGGAUCAGGUUUAAGGUGCUGGUUUUAACCUUUAAAGCCCUAUAUGGCCUAGGACCCUCGUACCUACGGGACCGCCUCUCCUGGUAUGUCCCACAGAGGAACUUACGGUCUUCAAAUAAAAACAUCUUGAAGGUCCCAGGCCACAGAGAAGUUAGGCUGGCCUCAACUAGAGCCAGGGCUUUUUCGGCUGUGGCCCUGAUCUGGUGGAACGCUCUGUCACAAGAGACUAGGGCCCUGCGGGACUUGACAUCUUUCCACAGGGCCUGCAAGACAGAGCUGUUCCACCAGGCCUUUGGUCAGGGUGCAGCCUGACUCCCUCCUUUGGCAAUCUUUACAGAACUUUAGUUUAUGGUUGCCAUCAAUUUUGAUUUUAAUUAAUUUUAUAAUGAAAUGAUUUUAGAAUGCUGUACUAUUUUAUUGUUGUUAGCUGCCCUGAGCCCGGCUUCGGCUGGGGAGGGCGGGAUAUAAAUAAAAUUUAUUAUUAUUAUUAUUAUUAUUUAUUAUUAUUAUUAUUAUUAUUAGCUUGGAGACUGAAGGGAUUGACUGAGGCUCUUCUUGUGGGUGUCUCACACAGCUUUUAGUGUGGUGGCACCCAUACUUCAGAACGAGAUCCUCUUCAAAAUGAGAGACUGGAUUACUGCAAUUCAUUCUGCGUGGGGCUUCCCUCCUGCUUGGGCUGAAGGCUGCGGCUGGUGCAGAAUGCUGCAGCAGAAUUGCUGACAAGAGCCAGCCCUGUGUCUGCUGCUGAGCCCGUACCAUUCCCUGCCUGAACAAAUUUCUCUGUCUUCCUUCCAAGUAGCAGCCCCUGCCUGUGUGCAUUGAAUAGUAGAUGGG